GACGAACGCUGGCGGCGUGCCUAAUACAUGCAAGUCGAGCGAAGUUUUUCUGGUGCUUGCACUAGAAAAACUUAGCGGCGAACGGGUGAGUAACACGUAAAGAACCUGCCUCAUAGACUGGGACAACUAUUGGAAACGAUAGCUAAUACCGGAUAACAGCAUUAACUGCAUGGUCGAUGUUUAAAAGUUGGUUUUGCUAACACUAUGAGAUGGCUUUGCGGUGCAUUAGCUAGUUGGUGGGGUAAAGGCCUACCAAGGCGACGAUGCAUAGCCGACCUGAGAGGGUGAUCGGCCACACUGGGACUGAGACACGGCCCAGACUCCUACGGGAGGCAGCAGUAGGGAAUCUUCCGCAAUGGGCGAAAGCCUGACGGAGCAACGCCGCGUGAGUGAAGAAGGAUUUCGGCUCGUAAAGCUCUGUUGUUAGGGAAGAAUGAUUGUGUAGUAACUAUACACAGUAGAGACGGUACCUAACCAGAAAGCCACGGCUAACUACGUGCCAGCAGCCGCGGUAAUACGUAGGUGGCAAGCGUUGUCCGGAAUUAUUGGGCGUAAAGCGCGCGCAGGUGGUUUAAUAAGUCUGAUGUGAAAGCCCACGGCUCAACCGUGGAGGGUCAUUGGAAACUGUUAAACUUGAGUGCAGGAGAGAAAAGUGGAAUUCCUAGUGUAGCGGUGAAAUGCGUAGAGAUUAGGAGGAACACCAGUGGCGAAGGCGGCUUUUUGGCCUGUAACUGACACUGAGGCGCGAAANNNNGGGGGAGCAAACAGG
rnacentral:rRNA from 1 species